GACGAACGCUGGCGGCGUGCCUAAUACAUGCAAGUAGAACGCUGAAGAGAGGAGCUUGCUCUUCUUGGAUGAGUUGCGAACGGGUGAGUAACGCGUAGGUAACCUGCCUUGUAGCGGGGGAUAACUAUUGGAAACGAUAGCUAAUACCGCAUAACAAUGGAUGACACAUGUCAUUUAUUUGAAAGGGGCAAUUGUUCCACUACAAGAUGGACCUGCGUUGUAUUAGCUAGUAGGUGAGGUAAUGGCUCACCUAGGCGACGAUACAUAGCCGACCUGAGAGGGCGGUCGGCCACACUUGGACUGGGACACCGCCCAGACUCCUUCGGGAGGCAGCAGUAGGGAAUCUUCGGCAAUGGGGGCAACCCUGACCGAGCAACGCCGCGUGAGUGAAGAAGGUUUUCGGAUCGUAAAGCUCUGUUGUAAGUCAAGAACGGGUGUGAGAGUGGAAAGUUCACACUGUGACGGUAGCUUACCAGAAAGGGACGGCUAACUACGUG
rnacentral:rRNA from 1 species